rnacentral:rRNA from 1 species
UAAGGAAUAUUGGUCAAUGGGCGCAAGCCUGAACCAGCCAUGCCGCGUGAAGGAUGACGGCCCUAUGGGUUGUAAACUUCUUUUGUACGGGAAAAAACCUCUGGUCGUGUACCAGAGCUGAUGGUACCGUAAGAAUAAGCAUCGGCUAACUCCGUGCCAGCAGCCGCGGUAAUACGGAGGAUGCAAGCGUUAUCCGGAUUCAUUGGGUUUAAAGGGUGCGCAGGCGGAUUAUUAAGUCAGUGGUGAAAGCCUACAGCUUAACUGUAGAACUGCCAUUGAUACUGAUAUUCUUGAGUGUUGUUGAGGUAGGCGGAAUGUGUCAUGUAGCGGUGAAAUGCUUAGAUAUGACACAGAACACCGAUCGCGAAGGCAGCUUACCAAGCAACAACUGACGCUCAU